rnacentral:lncRNA from 1 species
AAAAAAAAAAGAAAUAAAAUAUAAAAAGAAAAGAAAAAGAAAGAAAAAGGGGGCUAGCAAAGUUGUUAGGAGCUAAGUAAUGUUUUGAGGUUGUGGAAAAUCCCUUGUAGAUUUCAAAGAGAAGGAGUUAAAGUUCUUAGGAUUUUUUUUGGUGAGAGAUGUGAGUUGGGAUUGACAUUUAGGAAUGAUUGUGUAAUUGUAUGAUUGGGAAAAUGGUAGAACAAUGGAGAUUGAGCAUUGUAUGCAUGAGU